UGGGGAAUAUUGCACAAUGGAGGGAACUCUGAUGCAGCGACGCCGCGUGAACGAAGAAGGCUUUCGAGUCGUAAAGUUCUUUUAUAUGGGAAGAUAAUGACGGUACCAUAAGAAAAAGCACCGGCUAACUACGUGCCAGCAGCCGCGGUAAUACGUAGGGGGCUAGCGUUGUCCGGAAUCACUGGGCGUAAAGGGUUCGCAGGCGGAAAUGCAAGUCAGGUGUAAAAGGCAGAGGCUCAACCUCUGUAAGCAAUUGAAACUGUAUUUCUUGAGAGGUGGAGAGGCAAGUGGAAUUCCUAGUGUAGCGGUGAAAUGCGUAGAUAUUAGGAAGAAUACCGGUGGCGAAGGCGACUUGCUGGACACAAACUGACGCUGAGAAACGAGAGCGUGGGUAGCAAACAGG
rnacentral:rRNA from 1 species